AUUGAACGCUGGCGGUAUGCUUAACACAUGCAAGUCGAACGCGAAAGAGGGGCAACUCUCGAGUAGAGUGGCGGACGGGUGCGUAAUACGUAGGAAUCUGCCUUAAAGUGGGGGACAACCUGGGGAAACUCGGGCUAAUACCGCAUAUUCUCUAUGGAGAAAAGGGGGCUAGCAAUAGCUUUCGCUUUAAGAUGAGCCUACGUCGGAUUAGCUAGUUGGUAGGGUAAAGGCCUACCAAGGCGACGAUCCGUAGCUGGUCUGAGAGGACGAUCAGCCACACUGGAACUGAGACACGGUCCAGACUCCUACGGGAGGCUG
rnacentral:rRNA from 1 species